UUAAAACACCAGUUUUUGUACGAUCACCAAAGUUAAGCAACAUAGAGCCCGGUCAGUACCUAGAUGGGUGACUGCUUGGGAAUACCCAGUGCUAUA